CCCGCUGAACUUAAGCAUAUCAAUAAGCGGAGGAAAAGAAAACAACUGUGAUUCCCUUAGUAGCUGCGAGCGAAACGGGAUCAGCUCAAAACCGAAUCUGGCCGCUCUUGCAGCGGUCCGAAAUGUGGUUUACGGACUGAACUCGGAUCGGGUACGGCGGUUUAAGUCACUUGGAACAGUGCGCCAUAGAGGGUGAUAGCCCCGUGAAGCCGUUGUUGCCUCGGUCCAUAUGAGGUCAGUUCCAAGAGUCGCACUGUUUGAGAGUACAGUGCUAAGAUGGGAGGUGAGUACCUCCUAAAGCUAAAUAUUAGUCUGAGACCGAUAGCGUACAAGUACCGUGAGGGAAAGUUGCAAAGGACUUUGAAAAGAGAGUUAAAAGAACCUGAAAUCGUUAACGGGGAAGGGCUCAGGCAAAUCGCGGCCGCUGAGUGAUCAUCCUGUCGGUGCUUGAGGAAUCGUUCUGCUGGAGCCGCUUUUUUGCGGCCGGCGGGGCGGUAGUACGAAGGCCUGGCGGGACCACUCUCUUAUGCCGGGUGGAUCUGGUGGCUUGCGGCUGAUCGCGGCAUCUGCGUGGUAACUGCGGGGCGGUUAAUUCUGUUUUGCGGGGCAAAAGCGGGAGUCUUCCAGCUGUGGGCCGCUAGUUCAGGGAAUGCGCCUUUUUGGCGGGGUACAGGUGCGACAGCGCUGCUUGAUUGACCGAGAUACAAUCUUGUUUCCCGGCCAGGAUUGCGGCAGGGGUGCGCCUGCCCGUGCAUGACUAUCCAUCAGAGUCGAGGGACCUGAGCCUCCCGUCUUGAAACACGG
rnacentral:rRNA from 1 species